rnacentral:rRNA from 1 species
GGCGAACGCUGGCGGCGUGCUUAACACAUGCAAGUCGAACGGAAAGGCCCUGCUUUUGUGGGGUGCUCGAGUGGCGAACGGGUGAGUAACACGUGAGUAACCUGCCCUUGACUUUGGGAUAACUUCAGGAAACUGGGGCUAAUACCGGAUAGGAGCUCCUGCUGCAUGGUGGGGGUUGGAAAGUUUCGGCGGUUGGGGAUGGACUCGCGGCUUAUCAGCUUGUUGGUGGGGUAGUGGCUUACCAAGGCUUUGACGGGUAGCCGGCCUGAGAGGGUGACCGGCCACAUUGGGACUGAGAUACGGCCCAGACUCCUACGGGAGGCAGCAGUGGGGAAUAUUGCACAAUGGGCGGAGGCCUGAUGCAGCAACGCCGUGUGCGGGAUGACGGCCUUCGGGUUGUAAACCGCUUUCGCCUGUGACGAAGCGUGAGUGACGGUAAUGGGUAAAGAAGCACCGGCUAACUACGUG